GCAAACUUGGUCAUUUAGAGGAAGUAAAAGUCGUAACAAGGUUUCCGUAGGUGAACCUGCGGAAGGAUCAUUACCGAGUGCCGCACCGUCGCCCUCGCGCGGCGGUCGACCUCCCACCCCCUGCCUACAAUACCCGUUACUUCGGCGAGCCGUCCCUCGCGGCCGCCGGCGCCCCUGCUGUGGGACGCUGGUGUGUGCCCGCCGGAGCCCCCCCAAACACAAACCAACGCGUGAAUCGUCCGAGUCUUUCAGAAAUAAAUCAAAACUUUCAACAACGGAUCUCUUGGCUCUGGCAUCGAUGAAGAACGCAGC
rnacentral:misc_RNA from 1 species